UCCGCUCGCUGCCUCGUACUUGACCUUCCCGCUCCUCCACCCCUGCACUGCCGCUCCCUCCUGCUGUCCUCACCCACAAGCUCGGUCCCUCGACAGAAAUUGCUGAAUCCUACUGGUGCUGCUUCUCCGAUGAGGUCAUCGUGCUGCACAUGCGCUGGCAAACGACAUCAUCUCUGGUUUUGUUUCCCUUGACACUCGGUAAGACAGGAAAUUCUUCAGUGCUAGUUCAAUGAAAGAAACAGCAGCAGUUCACUAAUCUAAAAAAAAUCACAUUUUUGGACGCACGCCAAGUGUAUGCUACAAUGUCAGUGCACCGGACUACUAGCUUUGCUCUGUUCAUCGUUUAUUUGUAGCUACCUUGUACUUCAAAAUUGCUAGAGACGGCAUGCUCCCUUGGCUUCAACUACGCCGCGGGCUUGCUCCACUUGUCUUCCACAGCGCCACCGGCAGACAAGCCUGGAUGUCGUCAUCCGAACCGCCGCACCGCCCGGCCGCCACGCUCCUCCAGCUACCAUCUGGCGGCGCGCGGUGCUCCAAGCACGUCCUCUGGAUGCCCCCUCCUCUUGCCUACUCCCUGCGAAGCGCCCGGCUGUCUCCCUCCUGCCCCGUCCGUCCAGGUAUGGUACUCACACCAGUUCAAGUAGUGAUAUUGCGACAAGUACAGCUCCUCCCCUGUCAAGCUUAGUGCGCCAAAAAAGAGCAUAUUGAUGGAUGAUUGCUAGCUCGCUUCAUCAUUGGCUGAUUUUCCCGUCUACUAACUUGUGGUUAAUUCCUUCUAUCCUUCUGUUGUAUCUUUAUUUGGAGAUUUAUACUUGUGGAUGCCCAGCUUGUCAUGAAAAGUUCCAAAAAUUGUCGUAUAUUAAGUUCAAAUGUCUCACUUAUGAGUAGAACUUUUGUAGUUUGCUUGAACUGAUAGUUGAGACUUGCUGAGCCUCCAUGCUUUGUAGUUUGUGUGAAUUGAUAGUUGAGACUCGAUGAACUCUGUCCGUCUCGACUGUUGAACUGUAGCUGAUGGUUUUGUUUCUUUCGUAGGCUUAAGAUCGUCCUAUAUAGAUCAGCGGUUACUAUUUCUUUGCUCUGACUAUAUUUCUCAAUAGCAUUUUGUUUCUAUAAGUUUGUUGAAACCUACCUAAUAUAUAGCUAAUUCAACAUCCGACAUUUCUGCUGCAUUUGUAUGCCCACACCCUCAUAUGUUUGUACAAAAAAGAAAAUGGAUGUUAGAGUGGGUGAUUAAAAAACUCAAUGUUCUUCUGUUAUUCGAGCAGGCACCUGAAAAAAAUGUUCACCUUGGUUAGAUGAACCAAACGGGUCGUGUACUUCUUCUCUUAUUUGAGGAGGCACCUGAAAAAAAAUAAACAGAAUAAAUAAGAUGGCAGUAACAACCAGGUUGAACUUUUUAUAAUUUUCUGUGUAUGAUUGCAGUACUUUUUGUAAAAAAAAACACAUGCUUUGUAAAAAAACACUACGAAUCUGUUUGGACUGAUCGUUCGACUUCUUUCGUAUAGAAGGUUCAAAAAGUUCUGCUCCUGAAAAUGCACAUAUUUAGAGUAUGCGAAUAUAUUAUGCAUUUCUGAAUUUUGCUCUUGUGUAACAUUUCAACAUGUCUUAUGUCAUCAAUUCAUAAUGAAAAACAGUGGGAAUAGUUCAAAACAUGUGUGUUAAAAGCAGAACAGUAUAGAUAAACUUCCGUAUCAGUUCGAUGGAAUAAAUCACAUCAGUUCUCACUCGGAUUGGCUGUUGCCUACAAUGCAUUGAAAAUAAAAAUUUGAAUCAAAUCAAUCUAGUUGUUCUAUAUUGGCUUAAAGUUUUCGUAUCUUUAUCUUACUGAUGAUGCUCUGAACUGAACAAGAGUGCUGGGUAAUAAGUGUGCCUUUGUUUAAUACUAAAAGAUCUGUUCGCUGACUCAUAGUAGCAAAAUCGCAUGGAAGUGUGUGUUGAUGGCUUCAAUUAAUUUUACGCUUGCAUGCACGAUGGUGGCAGUGGUGGCGCAGAAUUGGAGAAAGAAAAAAAGGAAAGCCGUCCAAAAAACUGAACAUUUUUUCAUGUUUCUCUCUAGCUGAAUGAAGCUAGACUGAUGUACUACACUUAAUCUCUCUGCACACCAGGUUCAUGUACAUCGAUGAGAGGAGUUCACAAUAUAUAUCAAACAAAAAGAUAGUUCAGGUACAGAGGGAGUUUGAUGCCUCUAUGCAUGUAGGGAGGUUCUCUCACUUUCCAUGCGGGUGGAGAAGUUUAAUGGGAUGAAAUGCGUAUGUAUAUGACUCGUGCUAUGUUUAGCAAGUUGCUGCCUGAUGCAUAUUCAAUUCUCUACUUGUUUGAUGUCUUUGUGCUUUUGCUUUUUCUAUGAUUUUUUUCGAAAUGAAAGAGGACAAACUAGCUGCAAAAUUUAGGUGAACAUAUAUAAUUUUUUUCAUGCAGUAGCAGGUCUGAACAAAGAGGUCAAACUAGCUGCAAAAUGUAGGGGAACAUAUAUUUUUCUCUGAACAAUUUUGAUCCCAUUUUGAUCAUGACAUGAUCAAAAUUUGACGGCGGGAAGUAGCAGGUUCUUCAAUGUUGUGCAGUUCGAUGUGAUUUAGUUGGCCAGGAAGGGAGAAGCAACAGGGACAGUACGGGAUGGCUGACGACGAACCUGCUGCCGACGUGCUCUAUGGUGGUCUCUUAUCCAACGUAUUUAAAUCUCUCUAUAUAGUGUAGAUUGCUCCAGUAACUGAACUCAAUGGUCUCUAGUAUCAAAACAGCAGGGGAGAUACAUCAUGUGAAAAAAGAGUAGGAUAUUGAGAUGCUGUUGAUACUUCUUUAUGCUUGUGCCUUGCUGCUGCUCCAUUCAAUCACAUUCUAUUUAUAUGAAAAUAAUUGAUGCUCUAUAGGUGCUUGUUGAAAUGCUUAUGAGAACUGAUUUUUUGCUGUUUGGUAUUCAGAAUAACAGGGAAAGAAAGGAUUCCAUUUCCUGAGAGCUACAAAUCACAGUAAUUCAUUAGUACAUAUCCACCUACAGCCCGUUCAACGAUGUAAGCCACGCAAGUCCGAAAGAAAUGGACAAAACAAUGGUGGUGGUGAGAAAAAUAGAGCCCGUUCAAUGAUGUAAGCCACGCAAGUUCGAAAGGAUCCACAUCAGUACAAAGUCGAGAGGGCAUGUAUUACCGUCCAACUCGAGAGGGCAUGUAUUACCGUCCAAAGUACAUUCUUCAAUUUACCAAGAAGUUCAUGUAUUACUAUCCAGAAAGUAUAUAUAACUAUUGCUACUCUUCCCCCAAUUCAAUGUACAUAUAGAAAAGGUUCAAAUAUAUGUUAAAAAACAAUUUGGUUCUAAGUUAUAUAGUGACUCAAUACACAAAAUUUGUAGCGGUUCAGCAAAACGAUUCAUAUCAGUACAAACUCCAGAGGUCAUAAGUUCAGAGGACAAAAAUUUAGCAAAAAAAGAAGAAGAACCGGGGUGAUGUACCAAUAAAAUUUUGAUAAAGUUCGCAGAACAAAACAACAUAAAUUCGGAGUACUCAGUACAAAAUGAACAAAGCUCCGUUAGUACUAUCAUUUGCAAACAAAUGAUGAAAGAAAAAUGCUCAGUACAAACCCGCACAUAUCUUAGUUUGUACUAUCGUUUGCGAACAAAUGAUGAAACAAUUUUCAGUAAAAAAAC
rnacentral:lncRNA from 1 species